UACAGAGGUCUCAACCGUUGUUCGGAUUCAUUGGGCGUAAAGGGUGCGUAGGCGGUCGGGUAAGUCGGAUGUGAAAUCUCAGGGCUCAACCCUGAAACUGCAUUCGAUACUGCUUGGCUAGGGUACUGGAGAGGAGACUGGAAUUUACGGUGUAGCAGUGAAAUGCGUAGAUAUCGUAAGGAAGACCAGUGGCGAAGGCGGGUCUCUGGACAGUUCCUGACGCUGAGGCACGAAGGCCAGGGGAGCAAACGGG
rnacentral:rRNA from 1 species